UGUAGUAAAUCUUUUCAAAACCAGCUCUUUCCCUGGAUAUUGAGUACCUUGUCCCUCUCCUUAUUUUGAGCUGUAAAAUCUUUUCACGGGCCUCCUGUUGGCUGUUUCCUAUCUGUGCAUCCUUGAGAGAGGAGAGAUCUCUCCUAGCCUCCUGUUUGCACCUAAAUAGACGGGAGGAUCCUCCUGUGUCUCCUCACUGUCCAUCUGCUUACGGGUCUAAUCUUCUCUCAGAUUUUAAGCUCAAAAGAUUUUGUUUGUUUGUUUUUACUUACGUUUGCUUUACCGGUUUAGUGAAGCCAGCAGCCUAAAAGAAACGAGGAGAAAACCAGAACCGUGGGCAAACAAGGCCAGCUCGGUGAGGUCCGGACUCAGCCAUCUGUAUCUGACGCUAUUCUCCUCCUCGUCUCCACCACGGGCCCGGGGAUCCAGGCUUCUCAUUAGGAGGCUGCUCUCGUCCAGGUAGUUCUGCUUUAUGAGGCGGAGGCCCGCCGUCUGGAGGCGAGCCUUACCCCACGCUAUUGGUGGAGCCAUACUGGAAGGAAGCCCUGGACGCUAAUGGGGACUGCCUUGGAUGGCUCCUUAAUUCCCAGCAGCAGAAGUGACUCUGAGGGCAGUGCGUUCUCUGUCUGCCCCCAGCCUACCGUCACGCCUCCAAAUUAAGGAAUAUCCCUCGAGUUCUGUAGGAUUUGCUCUCCUUAAUUCCCAGGUUGGCACCAUCUUCCCAGAAGGGGACACCGAGCCAGCCUUCAGUGUUCCCUCAAUCUGGCUCCGGUUGCUCUCUAUCCAGCAGAGAUGCUUUGCAAGUUCUCCCGAGUGAUGGGCUGUCUUCCCUAGUUUUCAGGAACAACGAGCCACAUUGCCUCCCUUUGUUUUGUAUCAUUUGGGCCAUCUUUACCAAAAUGCCAUUCAUUUCAUUUUUUUCUCCCCCAGCCCCAGGUACAUCAAGGGAUUUGCACUCACCUGGCCCCAACUCCUUUCGGCUGGAAAUCACUUCUCCCUCCUCCCGAGAGCACUUUACCUUUAUUUCUCUCUUUUUAUGGGCGCUUCUCUCGACAACUGGAUUGCAAGUUCUUUGAGGGCUUCUAGAGGCCUCCAAGGCCAGGAAAAGGGGAAAAAACCUACCGUGCUUAAUUUGAAGAAUCGAAUAACCCAUCAACGUUUUCCAAACCACAACCAUGCGGCAGAGGAAAAAAUCACAGAGCCACCGUGCAAUUGAUGCGGGCCAAAAAAACCCUAGAAACUAGAAAAAGCUCUUGAUAAAAACAAAACCUGUGAAGACACGACAAAGGAGCUGAAAUUGAUGGCAAUUUCCUAAGGCAAUUUUUGCUUUUCAAACAUAUUCAAGUUUCCUGAGGGCAGAGAUCGCUCCUCGUGAACGAAAUCGUUUUCUCUUUCAGACGUCAGUGCAUAGGAAGUGGUUUUGUGUGGAAAGGAAAGCGAUUGAAUUUAGAUAAAUGCCAGUCCCAGAGCAGAUGUUCGCUACUUGGACAAAGAAAUAAAGCACAGGGAGAAAAAGUCA
rnacentral:lncRNA from 1 species